AAGAAAGUUGUCUCAGCUGCUGCUUCCUACUUAGCCCCGAAAGGGUGACUGGGUAAACCCACACUGUCCCAGGGUGGAUGGAUGAGACACCGCAGCAAUCAAGAUGUGGUGGUCUCACUUGGCUGGAAUGCGCCUUUAUGGGCCACACCCAUCCCCUUUCUGAUUGACCCACUAAGGUACAAACAUCUCCUCUUCUCCUCCUUCAGGAGGAAGUCUGUCAAGGCUUCCUCCUCCAUUAGAGUGAGCCCAACGUAUCUCCAUGUGAGACUCAGGGGAGUGGAAUGUUCUCCUCAAGAGGGACCCAUAGUAACUUUGGUAAACAACACCAAUUGACAAAUGGAAUAUGGGAAGAAUUAACCCCAGCACUCCUUUCACAAUCCUUCAGCAACUCUCAGAUCCAUUAGAAGUAAAUAAAAAGAGUUGACAGAUCUCCUAUGUCACCAGGGGCAUAGCGUGGGUUGCCUGUCCCCAGCAUGGGGAAGUGUUGUGCCCCCCUAGUGGACUGGGAAACUGGGGUGGAGGUGCACACCGGGCAAUCACAUUGGUGUUGACAGUUGUGCUGCUCCUUCCUCCCUUGUCCCACCCCAACCCAGAGGCUCCUCGCAGCCAAUGAAUGAUGCUGUCACCUGGACAAUGAGGCAGCUGGAACCCCUCACAGGAGAGGCGAAGAAGCAAGCAGGGAAGUGUGACUUACAGGGUCCCUCAACCCUGCAUUAAGUCUCUAUUUGGGUAUGUCUACACAGGUAAGGGAUGCGGGUGGCACUGUGGGUUAAACCACAGAGCCUAGGACUUGCAGAUCAGAAGGUCAGUGGUUCGAAUCCCCGCAACGGGGUGAAUUCCCGUUGCUCAGUCCCUGCUCCUGCCAACCUAGCAGUUCGAAAGCACAUCAAAGUGCAAGUAGAUAAAUAGAUAAAUAGGUACCUCCGGCAGGAAGGUAAACGGCGUUUCCAUGCGCUGCUCUGGUUCGCCAGAAGUGGCUUAGGCAUGCUGGCCACAUGACCCGGAAGCUGUACACCGGCUCCCUUGGCCAAUAAAGCGAGAUGAGCGCUGCAACCCCAGAGUCGGUCACGACUGGACCUAAUGGUCAGGGGUCCCUUUACCUUUACCUUUACCUUUACACAGGUAGGACUGGGAUGCACUCAUUCAAUGGAUUCAGUCUCUGUAAGAGUGUAAGAGAGAGGCUCAGGGAAGGUUAAGGGAACUGCACAGUGGGCUGCACAGAUUGCAGAAGCUCCUUCUCAAUGCUUCCUCCCUGCCACUCCCCCUGACCAGCACCUGCCUCCCCCCUGCUCCCACAACUGGCUCCUUCACAAGAGCAGGGAAGCUACAGCAGCCUCCACAGCAGCAGCUGAUUUUUCUCCUCCUUACUCUGUGCUUCUUUCUCGCUGCUAGCUCCCUCCCCACCCACCACCCUGCCAUGGCCCUCCUCUGGCCCAGGCAGCCCCUCCACCAUCCUCCACCCCCACUUGCAGUUGCCUUGAGACCCCUGCACUGCACUGGGCAAACUCACCAGCAGCAAAACAAAACACAGCUGCUCUUGCAAAGUGGCACAUGGCUAGGGUGCAGGGCCAGCGUGAGGAGGCAACAGGCAUUCCUCCCAAAACUGUGUCCCCCCCCGCCAAAUGUGCCCGGGCCCACCACCCCGGUAGCUCCCACCAUGCCAGAACAAGCCCCCUGUGUGUCACAACAAGUUUGAGUCUCAGGCUAGGCCUUGGGCAGAGGGAACAGACAAUGGAGACAUAAAGGAUGAUGCACUAUAUUCUACAUAUCGCUUGAUAUAACGGAACAUCCCUCUUUCCUCCUUCCCCUGCUUCAAGCCUCACUUCUGCAGCUGCUGGGAUCAGAUGGAGCUAGUUAUCUCAGCCGUUCACUCCCCACUGGAAUAUAAUUUCAUCAAAAUCUCUAGGGUUCAUAGAGAGGUUUUUAAAAAAUCUUUUAUGAAACCAAUGGAUGAAUAAUAACGCAAUCAGGUUUCUCUUCAUGCAAUCAGAACAGUUGAGUGGGGAAAUGGUGAUUUUUGUCUGAAAAGGGGACACAUGCCCAGGAAAACCAAGUAGCAAAACAGUUCCCUAGCAUGAGGGCUGAUGGGCAAAGAAUGCAAUAUUUUGUGGCCUUUAAAUAUAGCUAUUACUGAAUGCAUCUCCUCCCCAUUGUGAAAGCCAAAGGGGGCCAGUUCAAGUCAGUGUUACCGUGUGAAUAAAGCAAUGUGCCGACAGUAGCCAUUUUGUAACUUUGGCAGUACGACUCUUCUUCUUUAUAUUUCCACAUGUGUGUCCUUUCCAGCUGACCCAGCACAAUUAUCAUCAACUCUCCAUUGUGGAAUACCCUCAUGCUCAAGCCAACAUCUGCUGAAAAGCAAGUUUCUAGAAUUAGAUUGUAUGCAUGCAAAUACACGGGUGGUCCCCACCCCAGAAGCAAGACGUGACUGGGAUUCAAUGUCACAACUUUAUUAACUAUCAAGGCAC
rnacentral:lncRNA from 1 species